CGAAAUAAAGCUUAAGUAAACUAAGCGUUCCGUUUACAUUGGAAAGAAUUAUUGUGAAAGUCAGUUUAUUUCGG
rnacentral:tRNA from 1 species